GGAUGUGAGGGUGACUUGGCUGUGACAUCUGUCACCCCACUGACCACCAGGGUUGAUUGAGAGGCUGAUCUGGCUGGACCAGUAGGUGUGCCCUCCCUCCCUCACUGCUCCAUGCACGUCCCUCCUGAAGCUGUGUGCUCCAUCAAGGGGGGACCGUCUUCCCCAGAUGACCUUCCCCGAUGGAGGAGGACCGGUCUUCAGUCAUGGGUGCACGAGCAGUUGCGCUCUCCUGCUAGAACCCCAAACAAGCGCACAAAGUAUGAGCUUCCUCUUUGGAUUUGCCUCCAGCCUCCAGUGUUCAGUUCUACAGGGACAGGGGGCUUCCACACGUAGCUCUCCAGCACUC
rnacentral:snRNA from 1 species